rnacentral:tRNA from 1 species
UGGGGUGUAGCCCAGUGGUAGAGCACUUGCCUUGCAAGCAUGAGGCCCUGGGUUUGAUUCCCAGCACCACAG